rnacentral:rRNA from 1 species
UACAGAGGGUGCGAGCGUUAAUCGGAAUUACUGGGCGUAAAGCGUGCGUAGACGGUUAUUUAAGUCGGAUGUGAAAGCCCCGGGCUCAACCUGGGAAUUGCAUUCGAGACUGAAUAGCUAGGGUACGGUAGAGGGAAGCGGAAUUUCCAGUGUAGCGGUGAAAUGCGUAGAUAUCGGAAGGAACAUCAGUGGCGAAAGCGGCUUCCUGGACCAGUACCGACGUUCAGGCACGAAAGCGUGGGGAGCAAACAGG